CGGGCGGGCAGGACACUCGCAUCGAGAGCGGCCCUUCCAUUGAGCUUCGUGCAAACAGAUGUACUGGGCCCGUCACCACUCCCACCGAGCGUUCUAGCAAUGCCGCGUGCGAGUCACGUGGCGCUGCAUGCG
rnacentral:ribozyme from 1 species